rnacentral:rRNA from 1 species
GGCCCAGAUCGUUUACCGUGAAGAAAUUAGAGUGUUCAAAGCGGGCGCGAAAGCAAUUUCUCGCCGUUGAAUACGUCAGCAUGGGAUAAUGGAAUAGGACCCCGCUCUCCUAUUUUCCGUUGGUUUCCGGGAGCGGGGUAAUGAUUGAUAGGGAUAGUUGGGGGCAUCGAUAUUUAAUUGUCAGAGGUGAAAUUCUUGGAUUUAUGAAAGAUCGACUUCCGCGAAAGCAUUUGCCAAGGAUGUUUUCAUUAAUCAAGAACGAAAGUUAGGGGAUCGAAGACGAUCAGAUACCGUCGUAGUCUUAACCAUAAACCGUGCCGACCAGCGAUCGGGAGACGUCGCAUGGAUGACUCCCCUAGCAGCUUGUGAGA